rnacentral:rRNA from 1 species
AUUGAACGCUGGCGGCAUGCCUUACACAUGCAAGUCGAGGGGAAACGACGUCGAAAGCUUGCUUUUGAUGGGCGUCGACCGGCGCACGGGUGAGUAACGCGUAUCCAACCUGCCCACCACUUGGGGAUAACCUUGCGAAAGUAAGACUAAUACCCAAUGAUACCUCUAGAAGACAUCUGAAAGAGAUUAAAGAUUUAUCGGUGAUGGAUGGGGAUGCGUCUGAUUAGCUUGUUGGCGGGGUAACGGCCCACCAAGGCUACGAUCAGUAGGGGUUCUGAGAGGAAGGUCCCCCACAUUGGAACUGAGACACGGUCCAAACUCCUACGGGAGGCAGCAGUGAGGAAUAUUGGUCAAAGGACGGGAGUCUGAACCAGCCAAGUAGCGUGCAGGAUGACGGCCCUAUGGGUUGUAAACUGCUUUUAUAAGGGAAUAAAGUGAGUCUCAUGAGACUUUUUGCAUGUACCUUAUGAAUAAGGACCGGCUAAUUCCGUGCCAGCCGCCGCGGUAA